GGUGACCAGAGGCCAACUCCCCACAGAAACGCUGAGUCCACAGUGCAAGGUCCAGCGUGGUCAAUGUCCCCGAGUUCAUGCUGUGGAGGAUCAGGAGACACGGGUGUUAUGGCCACAACAAGAAAAGAAUCUAGAGAGACCACUAUCUAUCCCAGAAGAUGGACACAACUGUGCAGAUCAAAGCCACCCAAAGAGCAAAAGGUGCUGGAUGUCAAACAUCACAGUGGCUUAAUAAGAAUAAGUUUAAAGCUGGGCACAGCACAUGCAUCUGUAGUACCAGCUUCAGAAGGCUGAGGCAGGGGGAUCAUGAGUUCAAGUGCAAUUCUGCUUAAAAAAGAAGUAAAAAAAAAUGGUCUAACUAUAUGAAGUUGGUAUUUUUAUGUUCUAAGGAUGACUGGAUUAGGCAGUUUCAUAUGGCUUACCCUGAUGAAAUAUUUAUUGUGUUUUAUGUGGCAAUGGUGUCCUAAGAGUUUAGGGCUGGGGACAUGGCUCAGGUGUUGGACCACUUGCCUAACACACACCAAGUCCUGACUUUGAUCCCCUUUGCCACAUGGGAUUAGAUGUGGCAGUACAUGUCUGUAAUUUCAGCAUUUGGGAGAUGGAGGCAAGAGGGUCAUCCUUGGCUACAUAGCAAGUUCCAGGCCAACUCAGGCUGCACGAGACCCUGGCUCCCACAAAGACAUCUUCCUAUUUUCUGACUAACAUACCCGUCUCAAGUCUCUCUGCAGAUGUCACAUCCUUGUCCAGAGAGGAAGAAGCUAAGGCCUGCAGGGCAAAUCACUUGCCAGCCCAAGCGCAAAGACUGCUAAGCAGGGGUGGGAUUUGAAUUCUAGAGUCGCACAAGGAUCUCCAACCCCAGGGACAGCGCAACUUACGCCAGCGUUUCCACUUGAGGGCACUUCUGAAGGCUGGAGGCCAGCUGCUGGGCACCGGCAGCCGUGAACUUGUUGAACUGGACACUGAAGAGAGAGGCCCAUCCUGAGGCCUGGCUACUCACAUCCCAACCCUUCCUUCCCAUGAUGCAGUGUGUGUGUAAGUCAGAAGAUAAGGUGCAGAAGUCGGCUCUCUCCUGCUCCCGUGUGGGUCCUGAGGAGAGAACUCAAACUGUCAAUCUGGCAGCAGCAACUUCACUGGCUAAGUCACCCUGCCAGCCUUCCCCACCUCUUAUUUUCUUGAGACUGAUUCUCCAGGCUGGCCUUAAACUCAUGGUCAUUCUACUGUCUCAGCCUCCCCAUGCUACUAUGCCCAGAUCACUGUGUUAUAAUUAUGAUUUAUUUGCUUGUUUGCUUUUGGUUUAUCAUAUGUAAAGAUGCCUGAGGCCUGGAAGCAGGAUCUUCAGGUUCUCCACUGUUGCCUAUGAUAGACAGCAAGGGUUCUUUAAGUGUUUGUUGAUUAAUCCAAUAAAUGAGGU